rnacentral:lncRNA from 1 species
UUUUUUUUUUUUUUUUUUUUUUUUGGUUUAUUAACCUUCAGGUUUUACAAGUGAAUAUUGACCAAAUGAAAAUCGGUAUUGUCUGCAUUAUCGAUUAAAUCAAAUUUGAAUUGCUGUUGGUGGAGGAUCAAGUUUCCAAGUCUGAUUUCAUUGCUGUUUUAAUAGAUGAACUAUACCAGAUAUAUACUGUUCCAUAUACAACAGUUAACCUAUUUUGUGAGAUAUUGUAGUGUCAUAAAAGAUAACCAUAUAGGCACUUGUGACACCAAUUAAAUGUAUACUUUUUUCACGUUCUUAACUAUAAAUAUACACAUAUAGAGGCACAUUGAUUUGCAAAUCAUAUAUAUUGAUUUGAAAGCAAUUAAUGAAUUCUUGAAUCAUAUAUAAAUAAAAUAUCUUGUUGCUUCUUAUUUAAUCACACACAAACAUAAGCAGAGAUGCAUGUAUCAUCUCCCUGCUUAAUUAAAGAGUAGUGUAUACAUACUCUCAUAUGUCUACAAAUGAAUAUGUAUGUGACAGCUACAUAUCGUGUUGUAUUAUACACAUAUAAGAUAUUACACGUGCAUACACAAAUCAAGGCAAUUAAUAGAAGGAGAUCGAUUUAUUAAAUAUCCAUGCUAAUUACCCCUUUAAUCAAUAAAAUGUGAAAAACAUGUGAUUGUUACUCCUUCCGUCCCACUUUGAUAGUUCUGUUUUCCUUUUUCGUCUGUUCCAAAUUGUAGUCCACUUUCCAAUUGAAGAAUGUAGUUGUAUUUUAAUUUUCCUAAAAUACCCUUAUUCAAUGUAAGUUAUUGUUACUAUAAGCCUACCCCAUUUCAUGAGAGUUUAUUCUUUUUUUACCAUCAAUUCAAGUUUCCAUAAGAUGUACUCUAAUUAAUGUGAGGGUAUUUUAGGAAAAUAGCUACCUAAAUUGAUUGUUCCAACAAAGUUAACUACUUUUUCUUAAACUGUGUGAAAAAACAACUAGGACUAUCAAAGUAGGACCGAUGGAGUAUUACUUAGACAAGGUAUGUAAGUCCCAUUAGAAAAUUAAUGAACUCUACUUUAGGACAAACCAAAAGUUGAGAGGCUGAAGAAUCAGAAAAUAGUGAGGACUAAAUCAGGACUAGAAAAAUAGUCUAAGGAUUGUUUUUGCAAUUUUUCCUUUUUUUUUCCCGAAAGGUAAAAACAUUAUGAAAUAUGCAGCAUACUUUGUCAAAUAUGGAUGUUCUCCGAAUAAAAGCAAUAUGUAUGGUUGCUUGAUUGUUUUGUGGAGGAAUCACAUUCCACAUUUGCCCACAAACGCAACACUUUUGGUGAAUUGAUGCUUGGGACAAAUUCAAUUAAAAUGAAAAAUACCCACAUAGUUCACGUGUUUCAUGUGCACUGUCCAAAUUUUAACCAUCUUAGUAACGUUAGGUUGGAAAAUAGCAAUAUUAAUGUGACAAAUUUUGAGAGUUAAAGGUAAUUCGGAAACUUGCACUUUUAAUGUGAUAGAUUUUGAGAAUUGGGACAACUAAAAAAGAAACGUACGGCAUGAUCAACUGGACAAGAGAGUACUUUGCUUUUUCGUUUUCUUUUUCUUUUUUUUGAGUUAAUAACACUUUGCCCCCUAAACUUAGGGGAUAGUCAAACUUUACCUCCCAAGUCUUAAAUAUAUGCAUUUCACUUCCCACAAAAACUAAUCAAAGUCAGAAAUACGAAAAAAGCGAGUGCAAUGAUAUUUUUGCACUUUUGUUAAUGAAAUUAUUUAUAACUCAAUACCAUUUCCUUUCAUUGCGAAAAGAUUUAUAUCUUCUCUAUUGUAUCAACUAUACCGAAAUAUCAAACAAUAAAAAGUUAAAGAAAGUUAAUGUUUAGUUUAUAUCCUUGAGAUUUUUCCUGUUGGAUUAAUUUUUACUUCUAUAUUUGUUUUGUUCGAUAUAUUAGACUUUAAGCCAAACAAAAUAAAUAUAAUCGCUAAAAUUUAUAUAAAAAAGGUAAUAUCAAACUCAUUUUUAAAGUAAUUUUUUAUCAUUUUAAUUUAUUUAAACUUUUAGACUAAUAUCAUUGUCAUUUUUUUUAUCAAAUUACUCGAAUAUGAAAUUAUUAAUCAAAUUUGCUAAAAAAUGGUUGAUAUACCUCAUUUUUAAACUUAGAGAAGAAAAAUCAAGAUUAAAUCAAAUUUUAUUUUUUUGAGAAGAAAAGGUAAUAAUAGUAAACUAUAAAUACUACAACAAAAAUGACAAUAGUAUUUACCCAAAAGUUCACAUAAACUAAAUAAUAAAAAAACUACUUUUUUAAACAAAAAACAAGUUUAGUAUUACCUCUUUCCUGAAAAGAAAUUUGGUAUCUAUGUUUACUUUACUGUAUUUUGUGUUAUUUAUUUUAUUUGAAGGACUUAAAUUAUAAUAAAUUGAACAAAGCUUAUAUAAAAAUGAAUACUAACUGAUAGAAAAUUUUUAAGAAUAUAAGCUAAAUAUAAACUUUAUUCAGCUUUUUUUUAGUUUGAUAUUAUUGUAUAGUUGAUAUGAUAAAGAAGAUGUAUAUUUUUUAGCAAUGAAAGGAAAUACUACUAAGUUAUAGAUAAGGGAUAAUUUCAAAAACCUUCCCUGAGUUUUCUGGCAAUUUCAUUGCUUUCCCUUGAGGUUUUAGAAAUUUUACUUACCUCUCCUGACAAUUAUUUGGGACACAACGCUUACAUCACUAAUGGCCAAAUGGCUUUAAUUCUCUUAUAAUUUAGGAUAUUUUACACAUACAUGUAAAUGAAAAGAGUUAAACAUUUUCUAACUACAUUAACCAUAAUUUGGAUUGUAAAAAUUUAAUUAAUUUGUCAUCUAAAAAUAAAGCCAAUUCUAGGUGUAUAUUUUUAAAUUUUUAUAUACUUCACAAAUAAAAGAAAUUAGGCAUAAUGCACUUGAUAAAUUAAAUUAAAGACAUGAGAAACAAUUAAGCCAUUUACAAACUAAAUUAAUCAUAAUUUGAAAUACAAAAAAAAAAGAAAAUCUAAUUUGACAUCUAAAAAGGGAUCGAAUACUAGACAUCCUUUUUCAAUUUAUGUACUUGAUAAAUAAAAGGAAUAAAAUAUAAAGAGAUUUUAGUUAGGCUAAAUUUUCAUAUAAUUGUGGUAAUAACAAGAAUAUUAAGGUAUGGCAAAAACUUUUUCUUUUGUUAAAUUUUGAAAGUUGUUAUUUUUUGUUAUGGAUAAUGGAAAUUUUUUGUUUACCAUGUGUAGUAAUGACCCUAUAAGUUGAAUUAACAAGUUAGAUCAAAUAUUUAAUUUAACUAGUAUAAUAGUUGAGGGGCACUUUUGACAUAAAUAAUUUCCACACCUAAAAUUAUUCCUUAUUAUUGCUUUUUUAAGAUUGGGCAGAAUUGUUACCAGAAAAUUGGUUCUAAGGGAGGUCGAUGAUAGUUUUAGAACCUUAAGAGAGGGCAAUGAACUAUUAGGAACCUAAUGAGAGGGUUCUGAAAUUAUCUCCAUGGAUAAUUUCAUGAAUAAAUGGGCAAUAAUUUCAUUACACUUUUUUGUUGUAUUUUUAACUUUGACUAGUAUUCAUGGUGGGUAAAGUGUAUAUAUUUGAGAUUGAGGAGGAUAAAGUGUAAAUACCCCGUAAGUUUAGGAAGGCAAAGUGUUAUUAACCUUUUUUCCUUUUGGAUUCCAUGGAAAACUCCAAGACUUAUAACAAAGAAUAAGAAAUAUUGAGGAAUUCAAAAUCAAAACUAGGGAUCUUAUGUUCGCGUGGCUAAUGUCCCUUGUUACCAUGUAAAAAAGCAAUGUACGAUAUUAUCAACGGGACAAGAGAGUACUUUGCACUUCUUCUUUUUUUUUUUUUUCAUGGAAAACUCCAGGCCUUAUCAGAAAGAAUAAGAAAUAAUGAGGAAUUCAAAUUGGACUCGAGAUCUUAUGUUCCUAUGGCUGAAAAAGAAGGGAAGAUAUUUGACACAUAUGAAAAUCAGCGUUAAAGAAAAGUUAUAUUAGGUUCACAAAAAUGAAGCACACCCAACUCUCAUAUUAAAAGCGACGCAAAUUUUUGGUAGAAUUGCUUUUACGUACAAUAACCAAAAUUCUUGAUAAUCUUUUCUUCUCACACUUCUCAACAGAACAAAAUUACAAGCCACCAUAUGUAUAUGUAGUUAACAAGAAAUACUUGCCACAAAAAAUUACCUAAUACAAUAAUUAAUCUACCAAAUUAAUAAAUUACCCAAAACUAAACUUGAACAGAAAAGUGCUAAACAAUAACGUAGAAACUUUUAAGAUUAUUAAGCUUGAUUAAAUAUGCUUAAUAUCAAUGUCAACUAAGUUGCGUCUAGGGAUACAGAUUACUUUCCAAUUUGUAUAAUUGUAUUGAUUCAUAGCAUCGUUGCCAAAAUCAAAUUCUAUUGCUUCUGCCUUCUUUCCUUUCAAACAAGGUUCUUGUUUGGAAACUAGUACUGCAGUAACACGAAAAUAACUUUAAAAAGUUUGUUCUUUCUUUCUGCUAUGUUAAAUAACUUCUCGAUCCUUAAAAUUGUAGAAAACCUCAAUUUACCUUUUGAAAAUGGGUUUUACAAAGACCAAAUCUGCAUUCCAGAUUUUUAUUUAAUUGCAAUUUAAAGUGGUAUAGUUCCUAUUACAUGGUCUUAACAUUCUGCUCAACGAAGAAAGUAUUCAGCAUAUGAAACCUUAGCAGUUCAAAACGUUUAGGGGGUAUAAGAUUAGUUUAUUUGAAGCCUUAUUUGGCAUGAAUUGGACUAGACGAAGUUAUAUGUCUGACUUUUAACCCAUGCUAUUCUAUACAAUGCGUGCAAUCACAAAGUAAGUAAAGUUUCAAUUAUUCUCUUGGAAGUUUGCUAAUGCCAUGCCAUGCAUCCAGGAACACAAAAUCACCCAUAGCAGACCACAAGUUGACUUUCCUUAACCAAAUGAACGUUGAAGCUAUGAAUUUCUACAGUUUCAGUAAUCCAAAGGAAGGAUAGAAACCCACUAAGAGUAGUCACAGGCAGUAAGAACUUACAAACCCAUUUUUCAGCAUCGAUUCUGUUAGUCGCAAGUAUUCCUCACAUAUGCAAAGCAUUCGCAACAAUUACCUGUCAACUAAAUUAAGAGACCAAAAAAGAAAGAGUUAGAUUCAGAUUUUCUAUAUGGGCAUAUAAGAAUAUUUGUCUUACAAUUCUACAUUUGAAAUCUCCUGCAAUAUGUUAGUAUGUAUAGAACUCAAGAUUCUCUAUUUUGACGGUCUCUAUUCAUUUUAAAUUUGUCACAGGAAGCUCUGUGAUGUUCGAUUAACCCUUGAAUUUUAUUCCUCAUAAUACAUUAUCAAGAGAAUAUUGAGCUCUCAAAAAAAAAAGGCUCAACGUUUCAUGAAAGAUCUUUUUUCCAAUAUCAAUCAUAUUUCAAACUGGAAGGGUAUUUAUAUAUAGAAGCAAGGAGAACUGGAGCCAGUGUAACAUGGAAGUUUGAUGAGAAGAUCUUUGCAAAACAGUAGUUAGUAUGUACUUGUGCACAUAUCGUACAGUUUGCAAUACUUAAUAGAAGUUCUACUAUUUUACCUAAAUUUUUUUAAAGUUUUUUUUUUUUUGUCAACAGAAAAUGUUAUAAAGGAGAAAAAUAUAUUGCAUAAGUGUGAAUCCACAAGGUUAAUGGUGGAUAGUUCAUAGUACUAGAUAUAUGUUUCUCAGGUGAAAAACAAAAGAACAAAAGAGAAAAAAGGUAUAUGUUCCUCUUAUAUCAGCGCAAGGCAAAUAUUGAUACUUCCUAAAAUUGUUCAUUGGCUCUACUUGGAACUUUGCCAACCAUUUACCUGCCACAGCUCCAAAUAUCUCCAACACAUUCAUGCACAUGUAGAGAAAUUUAAGAUAAUCUUACAAAUUUGCAUUUCCCACUCAAUAUUGCCAUAAUCAAGCAUUCAAUCUUAACUACUAUCAAAUUUAGAUGUACUGCUUAUUCCCCCACAUAUGUAUAAGCCUAUUCUACCAGGUAUGCUAAUCUUACACUAAACAUGAACUCCACUUUAAAUGUAGUUUGUAAGACACCUGAAAGGUGCAUAUUCUUGAUCAAUACACCAUCUACCUCUUUACAAAUUCGCUUGUGUAUUCCUCAUGAAA